rnacentral:rRNA from 1 species
UUAUAUUCCUUUUUAUCAAAAGAUAAGAAGGGAAAGAUUUAUUGGUAAGAGAUUAGCCUGUAUUGUAUCAGUUAGUUGGUGGGGUAAUGGCCUACCAAGACGAUGACGCAUAACUGGUUUGAGAGGAUGAUCAGUCACACUGGAACUGAGACACGGUCCAGACUCCUACGGGAGGCAGCAGUGGGGAAUAUUGCACAAUGGACGAAAGUCUGAUGCAGCAACGCCGCGUGGAGGAUGACACAUUUCGGUGCGUAAACUCCUUUUAUAUAAGAAGAUAAUGACGGUAUUAUAUGAAUAAGCACCGGCUAACUCCGUGCCAGCAGCCGCGGUAAUACGGAGGGUGCAAGCGUUACUCGGAAUCACUGGGCGUAAAGAGCGUGUAGGCGGAUUGAUAAGUUUGAAGUGAAAUCCUAUAGCUUAACUAUAGAACUGCUUUGAAAACUGUUAAUCUAGAAUGUGGGAGAGGUAGAUGGAAUUUCUGGUGUAGGGGUAAAAUCCGUAGAGAUCAGAAGGAAUACCGAUUGCGAAGGCGAUCUACUGGAACAAUAUUGACGCUGAGACGCGAAAGCGUGGGGAGCAAACAGGAUUAGAUACCCUGGUAGUCCACGCCCUAAACGAUGUACACUAGUUGUUGUGAGGCUCGACCUUGCAGUAAUGCAGUUAACACAUUAAGUGUACCGCCUGGGGAGUACGGUCGCAAGAUUAAAACUCAAAGGAAUAGACGGGGACCCGCACAAGCGGUGGAGCAUGUGGUUUAAUUCGACGAUACACGAAGAACCUUACCUGGACUUGACAUAGUAAGAAUGAUUUAGAGAUAGAUUAGUGUCUGCUUGCAGAAACUUGCAUACAGGUGCUGCACGGCUGUCGUCAGCUCGUGUCGUGAGAUGUUGGGUUAAGUCCCGCAACGAGCGCAACCCUCGUCCUUAGUUGCUAACAGUUCGGCUGAGAACUCUAAGGAGACUGCCUACGCAAGUAGGAGGAAGGUGAGGAUGACGUCAAGUCAUCAUGGCCCUUACGUCCAGGGCUACACACGUGCUACAAUGGGGUAUACAAAGAGCAGCAAUACGGUGACGUGGAGCAAAUCUCAAAAAUGCCUCCCAGUUCGGAUUGUAGUCUGCAACUCGACUACAUGAAGUUGGAAUCGCUAGUAAU